CAGUAGCCGCGGUAAUACGUAGGGUGCGAGCGUUAAUCGGAAUUACUGGGCGUAAAGCGUGCGCAGGCGGUGAUGUAAGACAGUUGUGAAAUCCCCGGGCUCAACCUGGGAACUGCAUCUGUGACUGCAUCGCUGGAGUGCGGCAGAGGGGGAUGGAAUUCCGCGUGUAGCAGUGAAAUGCGUAGAUAUGCGGAGGAACACCGAUGGCGAAGGCAAUCCCCUGGGCCUGCACUGACGCUCAUGCACGAAAGCGUGGGGAGCAAACAGGAUUAGAUACCCCUGUAGUCCCUGUCUCUUAUAC
rnacentral:rRNA from 1 species